UACGUAGGGUGCAAGCGUUAAUCGGAAUUACUGGGCGUAAAGCGUGCGCAGGCGGUUUUGUAAGUCUGACGUGAAAUCCCCGGGCUCAACCUGGGAAUUGCGUUGGAGACUGUAAGGCUAGAAUCUGGCAGAGGGGGGUAGAAUUCCACGUGUAGCAGUGAAAUGCGUAGAGAUGUGGAGGAACACCGAUGGCGAAGGCAGCCCCCUGGGUCAAGAUUGACGCUCAUGCACGAAAGCGUGGGGAGCAAACAGG
rnacentral:rRNA from 1 species